rnacentral:rRNA from 1 species
CUACGGGAUGCAGCAGUAGGGAAUAUUGCACCAUGGGCGAAAGCCUGAUGCAGCAACGCCGCGUGAGCGAUGAAGGCCCUCGGGUCGUAAAGCUCUUUUCAAGGGGAAGAGGAAGGACGGUACCCUUGGAAUAAGUCUCGGCUAACUACGUGCCAGCAGCCGCGGUAAAACGUAGGAGGCGAGCGUUAUCCGGAUUUACUGGGCGUAAAGCGCGUGUAGGCGGUACAGCAAGUUGGAUGUGAAAGCUCCUGGCUUAACUGGGAGAGGUCGUUCAAAACUGCUGAACUAGAGUACGGUAGAGGAAAAUGGAAUUCCGGGUGUAGUGGUGAAAUGCGUAGAUAUCCGGAGGAACACCAGAGGCGAAAGCGAUUUUCUGGACCGAAACUGACGCUCAGACGCGAAAGCUAGGGUAGCAAACGGGAUUAGAUACCCGCGUAGUC